CCUACGUGCGGCUGCAGUGAGGAAUAUUGGUCAAUGGGCGCGAGCCUGAACCAGCCAAGUAGCGUGAAGGAUGACUGCCCUAUGGGUUGUAAACUUCUUUUAUAAAGGAAUAAAGUGAGGCACGUGUGCCUUUUUGUAUGUACUUUAUGAAUAAGGAUCGGCUAACUCCGUGCCAGCAGCCGCGGUAAUACGGAGGAUCCGAGCGUUAUCCGGAUUUAUUGGGUUUAAAGGGAGCGUAGAUGGGUUGUUAAGUCAGUUGUGAAAGUUUGCGGCUCAACCGUAAAAUUGCAAUUGAUACUGGCAGUCUUGAGUACAGUUGAGGUAGGCGGAAUUCGUGGUGUAGCGGUGAAAUGCUUAGAGAUCACAAAGAACUCCGAUUGCGAAGGCAGCUUACUAAGCUGCCACUGACAUUGAUGCUCGAAAGUGUGGGUAUCAAACAGGAUUAGAUACCCUGGUAGUC
rnacentral:rRNA from 1 species